UUGUUUACAUUCACAGAUGGUUAAGCAA
rnacentral:sRNA from 1 species